rnacentral:rRNA from 1 species
UACGAGUGCCCCAAGCGUUAUCCGGAAUCAUUGGGCGUAAAGGGUGUGUAGGUGGUUAUAUUAGUCUUUUUGUAAAAUCUCCAGGCUUAACCUGGAAACCGCGAAAGAAACGGUAUGACUAGAGGGUGCGAGGGGUCUGUGGAACCCAUGGAGUAGGGGUGAAAUCCGUUGAUAUCAUGGGGGAACACCAAAAGCGAAGGCAACAGACUGGCGCAUUCCUGACACUGAAACACGAAAGCGUGGGUAGCGAAUGGG